CUCCCUUCUCUCUAACAUAUCUCUACAUUAUCUCUCUAGAACACAAGAUCCGUCGACCAGAAUCCAGCCACCACACGGUGGAGCCGUGGCGGCGGCUGCCGACCACGGCGGCACGUACCGACGGUGGUUUUUCGGUGAACCUUUCAGCGACCGUUUCUGGCCAAUGGUACACUUUUUCUACUAAUUUUAACCUUCCGAACACCAUGGUGAGGUCCAUUUUCUCUAAUUCAGAGCGGUUUGAGCCGUAGAGCAACUCUGAAGAGAAUUUCGGCCAAAUUCUGUCAAGUUUGUUUUCAAGUUUUCUCUUCAUGCAUGUCAAGAUCUUGCUUUGAAGGAUGUUGGUAUUGCUUAUCCAAACUAUGUCAAGAUCUUGCUUUUAGAAGUCUCCAACUUAUUUAUAGUUAACUUCAACAUGUACAUCAUACCUCAUUAUAUGGUACAUCGUACCGAGGCGAUCCGAAAUGAGUCUACCACUGCUCGUACCGAAUUUUAGAGACCUAGCGAAUUGCGAUCCCGUUUCACAUUCCUGUACCGGAGCGUACCACGAACCAUGCGACUAUGAUUUGGAGGACAUACUGGUUACCUUGGGAGAGUUGCUGCCGCCAAACUACCACUUUGCAUCUACUGGUACAUCCUUGGUUGAGGAAUCCGACUUUUUUGUUUAGGGAUUAUUACAUAUAUACCCCUCCUAAGUGCCUUUAUUACAUAUUUACCCAACCUACAAAAUCAAUUACACAUUUCCCUUUUAUUAAGAAAUUACCCAUUUACCUUUUUGUAAUUCCUUUUUUUAUAUAAUUCUACAUGGGUCAAACUUGUUAGGCUAAACACACAUGAGAUAACCUAACUGUUUCUUUCAUUUUCACUGUUUCGUGGCCUUUAGUUCACCUUCAUUUUGUUCAAUAGCAAUUGACUAUCAAAUUAACUCUUUUCACUUUCCCUCUUGAUAUUUAAACACAAUCAAGCCAGGUUGAUGCUGCUCAAUUUCUUCUUUUCAUUUUCUUCUGCCAAAUCUUUUUUCCGAUGAUCUAGUUACAAUCUCUAUUUUUACUACGAAUUUUAAUUUCUUAUAGAAUACAUAUUAUGAUAUUAAUAUUAAUGUGAUAUUAUAUACUGUAGGGUUAUAAAUUGAACUUAAAAAUAUAUAAACUGUAUGUUUAUAAAUUUUUAUAGUUCUAUAAAUAAAUUUCAUUAUUUUCAACAUAUAAACCUUUGCAAAUGAGGAUAUUCCAAAUGGAUUGGACAUAGGUUGUACUUUAAUAUAUAUUUCACGUAAUCAGCAUGAGAUAUUAUGGUAUGGAUUUAGAACAACUAGUUAAGAAAUUAGGGAAAUUUGUAAUUGAUAGUAUUAGAAAUGAGAAAUAUGUAAAUGGUCAUUCAACAAGGUCAUUAAGGGUAAAAUAGUAAUUCAAUAAAAUAAUUUUAAUGAAAAGGAGAAAUAUAUAAUACGCAUGGUUUAGGAAGGGGAAAUAUGUAAUAUACAUGAUUUAGGAAAGGGAAAUUUGUAAUUGGAUUUUGUAAUUGGGUAAAUAUGUAAUAAGCUCACUUAUAAAGGGGAAAUAUGUAAAAUACCCUUUUGUUUAUACAAGUGUAAACGAGAAAAGAGCUACAGAAAGUGGCCCGCACAAACUUUUUCAAAAAUUAGAGGGACUAGUAGAAGAAGCGGAAAAGGGAGGAGAGCUAGGAAAGAACAAAGGGGAUGUGGUGGUGGUUGAUUCAACCAAAGAAGUUCUAGGACAGUUGGAAUAUACGAGAACAGAGAAUUUGAAAGCUCUUGAAAAUGUUUCUAAGGGGACUUGUCAAUGAAAUGCAUACCGAUAAACAAGGGAAAGGGAGCCAAGACAACAAGGGAAAUGUUCCUAUUUACGGCAAUCCAUGGAGAAACGAAAAGAAAAUUCACACUUCGUGUGAGUCCGUCCAUCAAGGACCUUCAGCGUAUGGUGUCUGAGAGGUUUAACCUCAGCUCAAAGUCCUUCACCAUCGAGUACCAUGAUCCAUUCAAUGAAAACGAAUAUCUAGCGUUAUCUGUUGAAGAUGAGUUUAAUGAUUGUUUAAAUACAAGCAAAACAGAUGGAAACUCGAUUUGUAUUGUUGUAAAAUCAGAACAACAAGCUGUUUUGGAAGGAGGAGGCGAACUGAGUGGGUCCAGGGCUGUCUUGACAGGAGGAGGUCAACCAAGUGGGUCCAUUAAUCCUGAAGAGUGAAGGUUUGACUUGGUGGUUAUUUUUUAUGUGAAUGAAUUUUUGAUGUGAACAAAACUUUUGAUGUGUGAGAUGGUAGGUAGUAACUGACUUGCAUUGUGGUGAUGAUAUAUGAAAUUAGCUUUUGUGAUUA